AAUGAACGUUGGCGGCGUGGAUUAGGCAUGCAAGUCGAGCGAGAACUAGUAGCAAUACUGGGGAAAGCGGCGAAAGGGAGAGUAAUACGUAGGUACCUACCCUCGGGUCUGGGAUAGCUGCGGGAAACUGCAAUUAAUACCGGAUGACGUCUCUGGACCAAAGGUGUGAUUCCGCCAGGGGAUGGGCCUGCGUCCUAUUAGCUAGUUGGCGGGGUAAUGGCCCACCAAGGCUAAGAUGGGUACGGGGUGUGAGAGCAUGCCCCCGCUCACUGGGACUGAGACACUGCGCAGACUACUACGGGUGGCUGCAGUCGAGGAUCUUCCGCAAUGGGCUCAAGCCUGGCGGAGCGACGCCGCGUGCGGGAUGAAGGCCUUCGGGUUGUAAACCGCUGUCAGUGGGGAGCAAAUGCAUCAGGGUUCUCCCUGGUGUUUGAGCGAUCCGCAGAGGAAGCACAGGCUAAUUCCGUGCCAGCAGCCGCGGUAA
rnacentral:rRNA from 1 species